UUGAAUUUCCGCCAGCAUAGCAAAUGAGAGUAUGCUACAUUUGGAGUGCUCAGUGCCGUCUUUGACAUGCCUCAAUUCUCCAUUCUUACAAAACUGAAGGCGCCUGGAGGUUGUCUAGACAGAGAGAUUAAUCGGCAAUGCAAGUCAAUUGGUUCUGUGUGGGAGAGAGUCUCUUUGAUUAUUGGCAUUUUCUUCGUUUUAAGGCAAAGUUGAGUAUGCUUUGCUGGUCCAUUUCUCGUCUGCUUACUGCAAAUUUGCAGUCAACCAAGUCCAUGUGACCUCUUCUCUUUGACUCUCUGAAAGUUGGAACCUAUGUGGUAUCAGUUACAGCCGCUACUACUUUGUGCUCUCAACGUUAGUCUGCUGCGAUCAAAACUUGUCCGAACUUGCAGCAGAUUUGUCAGAAACUUGUGACGAUAGCCGCAUCUGGGAGGCCUUUCUCUCCCACCAGCUUGUGGCGCUUACCGUUGUGAUCAAUCUCAACGAUGUGCUUGCGGAAGGAGAUUUUAGGGUCUUUCGCGAAUAGCCACUGCUGACCGAGGAUCACGUCAAUGUGUGCAAGAUCCAUGAUUCCGAAUGUGAUCAGAUCAAAGUAGGUUUGAAUUCUAAGCGGAACGUUUUUCACUUGUCGGUUCCAGAGCACGUUGGAGCCGUUCGGCAAGUGCACAACGUAGGGAUCCAAGGCAGUGGACUUUAGUUGCAACACCUUGACGACCGUGGAAUUUAUGAAAUUGUGGGUGCAUCCCGAAUCGAUCAACACCAUCACUUCCUUAGUCAUCGCCUUUCCUCUCAGCUUCAUGUGCUCCCAGCUCUGAAAAGCAUUUUCCUUGCCCUCGUCCUUGGAAUGCAAAUUGCUGAACUCAACAACCCACGUGGAUGGCUGCUUGAAGCCGUCAUGGCUUGCAAGCGUGGUUGGAUGCGACUUCACGGGCAGCAUCCGCGUUGCGAAGGGAGUGGACGUCUUGGGCCGGCUACUGGAGGCAGCUGCAGUCUCCAUCUUUGCGGUGGUCUCUAUAUGCUUCCAUAGCCUUUGCAAGCAACAUUUGUGUGAGGGUCGGAAUAGGAUUUUACAAAGAGUGCAUACAGCUAUCUUGUUCUCACUUGACGUCUCCUGCGUGGAAUUCUUCAUGGUCUCGGAUUGUAUUCUUACUGUGUCUCGCUACUAAACCUGUAACAUCUGUGUCGACAAAGCUCUUGUGCAGGACAAAGAUUUUCAAGUUUGUUCACAGGUUUGUUCCAAACAGGAAAUGCAAAGGGUUGUGUGUGUAGCAUUCCGAAGACACGACACUUUAUUUACUAAUUUGAAUCAAACACUUACCUGACAGGACGCACAGCUUCUGUUGAUUGGAAGGGGCUGGACAAUGUUACGAGUGCAAGUAUAUACUCCAGGCACCUGAGGGUUGCAGUUGAUGGGAUGCAACUGCGAGUGCAAGCUCUGAAAAAACAAAAAAAAGGUACAUACGGUGUAGAAAACUUACCUGUAAGCUGCUUCACGAACUCUGCUCUCAGCCACUACUCUUCAUGCCAUGAACUCUUCCAACAAAUCUGCAGAUCAACUGGAGUUUGUUCAAGACUUACUCAAAUUGUUGCUCAUCAUCUUGCUCAUGAAAACGAAGUGGUGGUGCAAGGGACGUCGGAGAGAGGCUCUCGCUUCAAGCUGCAAAUGUGUUUGUGUGGGUGAAGAGGCGUGACCUUUGGUAAGCAUUGCAGUAACGGUGUGAGUGGUUUUGACAUGCAUGGGGUGGAUCAUUCGAAACAACGGCGUCGAUUGACUAUCAAAGGAAACUUGUUGUUCUCACUUGUUCUUCAUGUGUCCACCAAUUGUUUCGAUUCUUGCAGCCUGCACUGACAACAGAAGCUUGCACUAAUUCAAGGUAAUUUUGUGGAGAGUCCAUUACAUCUUCCUGACAAACUAGACACAAUUUGCAUCAACACCUUCUUUGUUUUAGUUUAAAAACAUCCCAUCUUGAUUCCAAAAUUGAUGUUUUAGUCCCUAACACUUGCAUGUAUCAAUACCCACAUCCUCUGUAAAAACUGAUUUAGUGUAAUAUCUUCAUUUGGUAUGUGAUCCAUUCUAGAAAUGUCA